rnacentral:rRNA from 1 species
UACGGAAGGGGCAAGCGUUGUUCGGAAUCAUUGGGCGUAAAGGGCGCGUAGGUGGUUCUGUAUGUCUACCGUGAAAGCAUACAGCUCAACUGUAUUUUGUCGGUAGAAACUGCAGGACUUGAGGCUGGGAGGGGCUGGUGGAAUUCCCUGUGUGGCGGUGAAAUGCGUAGAGAUGGGGGAGAACACUCGUGGCGAAGGCGGCCAGCUAGACCAGUUCUGACACUGAGGCGCGACAGCGUGGGGAGCAAACAGG